rnacentral:tmRNA from 1 species
GGGGCCGACUGGUUUUGACAGCAUAGGGCAGGAUAAGUAAGCACGUCGUGCGUUGUGUAAUUAGCACGUAAAUCUGAAUACCCGACUUUUAAAUGGCGAAUCUAACUACGCCAUGGCUGCCUAAUUAAAUUAGCGCACCCAUUUUGGCCGCAGAAGACGAUGGCCUGUUGACGUCUCUGCCGCCUAACUCGAACAAUAACAGGAUAGUACUUGUAUUGCUGUGGUGCAGGUAUGAAGCUAAAGCAGCUAGGUUGCAGGUUGGUUAGUCCACCCCCUGCCGGCAUCCGAAACUCAAUGAUGGAAUAAACGUGUAGAAAGCUUAUUGGGCAUAUGUUUGGACGUGGGUUCGAAUCCCACCGGUUCCACAA